CAACCACCAUUUACCUUCACUCACAAACCCUACUUUCCCAUCUUAUUAUUCCUUUUCUUUUCCAUUAUUUGUUCACUUUCAAUCACAAACCCGUAAAUCUAGCCUCUGUUUUGUGUUUUUUUUACUCAUUAUUCAGUCAUAUCAGAUGGAAUUCGUAAUGAUACUUCAAGAAAAAUGUGAACUUUAUAAGAUCUACAAAUUCAGACGGAGAACACAAGAUGCAUUCCUGAAAAAGAGUGGGAUUCCUGGAAAAGAGUGGGAUUCAAUUUUAUUUCAUUGAUGUAUUGAAAAAAUAUAAAAGAAAUAUGUAAAAAUUAAUUUAUUGAUGUAAAUAAAUCAAUUAAAUGUAUAUAUAUAUUAAUAUGUUAAUGUCUAUUGGUUUA